ACAGGGCAUGGUAACGCUUGCUUGUAACUCAAGUGAGGGUAUUAAAGAUGGUUGGACGCUGAUUCAGCACAGUCAGGUUGGCUCCAUUGGUGCACAAACUGGCUUGCCCGUUCCAAGUUGUGAGUUGGACCAUGUGGCUUGAGCGAAGGCUUGGGUCACUUGGUCCUUAAAGUAGGGGGCACUGCGUAAGGCUGGCUUCACAGAGCUACGAAAACCCCCUCGCUCACGACAGUGGAAGGAUUACAGGUCGGGGCUCCAUGGCUUCAUAAUAACCUGCUGGGUUGUCUCAAAUGAACAACCAUCUUUUU
rnacentral:SRP_RNA from 1 species